CUAUUGUUUAUACACGGAACAAUUUUUAAUGCAAAUCGUUGUGCCGGAAAAUUAAAAUUCCAGACGUCCUCUAUGUUAAAAACGACGUGACGUAAGCAUUUCUAAGAUCUAUUUAACUUAGAAUUGAUGUACAAUGUUCAUUACGGUCUUUAUGAUUUUCAAGUUUUGUGAAUACAUGAUCGCGUAAGCAGUUUUGCUUAAAAUGUCUACAUUUUGAUUCACUAAAUGUAAGAUAGUGCUCAACUAUCUAAACCUAUUAAACAGUAGGUUGGCUUACCUCAAAAUCUAGAGUAGCCUUAAUUCUCUGGCCUGGAAACCCAACCCGAAAUUACUGGUAGCUAAACCUGUCUCACAGAAUCUAGACCUUACAGAAGGCCAAAAAACCACCGCCACGCCACGUCAUGACGGUCAUCAAAAUGCACUCGCCAUGUUCCUAGCCAGUGCGCUUACGAGAGGCAUUCACCCCCUGACCAUCUGCCAUUUUGAACAUUUUCAACGGUUACGGCAAAAUAUUACCAGCGAAAUAUAGGUAAAAGCCUGAAGUCGGCCUUCUGUAAGUUCUCUAUUUUAUUGGUAGCCAGCCUAUACCAUAUUUGCACUAUCAUGAUUUAGUUAUUUAUUUAUUUACACAUUGCCUCUUAGGCUUGAAGCCCACAACAGCUUAUAAGGCCAGUUACUGCGGAUCCAUUGCAUAUAUCCAGUGGCGCCGUGGCCGGGGGGGGGCCAGGGGGGGCCAUGGCCCCCCCUACCGUGAAGACCCGUCGGAAAAUUGUGAAUGUUGUCGGAAAUUUUUGAAAAAUUGACAACGUUGUCGGAAAUUGGCAAAAUUUCCGACG